UACAGAGGGUGCGAGCGUUGUCCGGAAUCACUGGGCGUAAAGGCGCGUAGGUGGCGCUGCAAGUCGGUGGUGAAGCUCGCCGCUUAACGGCGAGUCGGCCAUCGAAACUGCAGGGCUCGAGCACUGUAGGGGCUAAUGGAAUUCCGGGUGUAGCGGUGGAAUGCGUAGAGAUCCGGAAGAACACCAGUGGCGAAGGCGGUUAGCUGGGCAGUUGCUGACACUGGAUGCGCGACAGCGUGGGGAGCAAACAGG
rnacentral:rRNA from 1 species